CAAUCGCACUUCCCGAUGUUUGUGAAUUAUUGACACUUUGACUACUUUGUUGUAGUGGUUUCGCGACACUACUUUCAGUAGCUUGACCUUUGGGAACAAAAUAAUUUUCUUUAAUGAAUUUCCAUUUAUUACUAGAAUCUGAGUUAUAUUUCUUC
ensembl:ncRNA ZC53.8 ncRNA